rnacentral:rRNA from 1 species
GACAGAGGGUGCAAACGUUGUUCGGAAUUACUGGGCGUAAAGCGCGUGUAGGCGGCUAUGCAAGUCGGAUGUGAAAGCCCUCGGCUCAACCGGGGAAGUGCACCCGAAACUGCAAAGCUAGAGUCUCGGAGAGGAUCGUGGAAUUCUCGGUGUAGAGGUGAAAUUCGUAGAUAUCGAGAGGAACACCUGCGGCGAAGGCGGGUUGCUGGGCUGACACUGACGCUGAUGCGCGAAAGCUAGGGGAGCGAACGGG